GUUACGUUUUGUAACAAGAUAUUAAUAAUUUAGUUCUUACUAUAUAAAAAUUACUAGUUUUUCCGAUCGUAACGGAUGUGCGGAAAAAGAGAGAUUUUCAAGAAGCCGUCAAAUUGUGUCGCAGUUAACAAUAAAGACAUUGAGUUACGCCGUUUGCUUCCUCGGAAAGUGUGUUGCAAUAGACAAAUUUCUUUUGUUUUUCUUCAAUUGCAAUUGUAAAUCGUCGCUGGGGAUCGUUGCCUGGGAUCUUUUACAGAGCUUAUACAAGCCGAGGAGAGGCUCAAACUGCUUGGCAUACGCAUAGCUUACGCAUCCAAUUGGAAUGGAAUGAUGCGGCACAAAGACAGGCAAAAACAAAACACAUGUAACAAUAUUACGUUGGGUCUUGUUGUUCGAGGUAAUAUUUCGUAUCUUUUGGAUGGCUGACAAAAAGGUGAUUUAAAUAAUUUUAUAUAAGAAACAUCACACGUGCG
rnacentral:sRNA from 1 species